GAAAUAAAGCCCAAUAAAAACCCAAUUAACGCUAAUUAACGCUAAUUAACGGUAAUUAACGCUAAUUACCGUACAUCCGGUGCGAGGCCACCACGUGACCCAGCAGGAUGACGUCACUGGGAGCCCCCAGACCCCAAAAAACCCCCAAAAAAUCCCCAAAAAAAU